CUAAGGUCCCAAAGUCAUGGUUAAGUGGGAAACGAUGUGGGAAGGCCCAGACAGCCAGGAUGUUGGCUUAGAAGCAGCCAUCAUUUAAAGAAAGCGUAAUAGCUCACUGGUCGAGUCGGCCUGCGCGGAAGAUGUAACGGGGCUAAACCAUGCACCGAAGCUGCGGCAGCGACGCUGAUGCGUUGUUGGGUAGGGGAGCGUUCUGUAAGCCUGUGAAGGUGUGCUGUGAGGCAUGCUGGAGGUAUCAGAAGUGCGAAUGCUGACAUAAGUAACGAUAAAGCGGGUGAAAAGCCCGCUCGCCGGAAGACCAAGGGUUCCUGUCCAACGUUAAUCGGGGCAGGGUGAGUCGACCCCUAAGGCGAGGCCGAAAGGCGUAGUCGAUGGGAAACAAGUUAAUAUUCCUGUACUUGGUGUUACUGCGAAGGGGGGACGGAGAAGGCUAUGUUGGCCGGGCGACGGUUGUCCCGGUUUAAGCGUGUAGGCUGGUUUUCCAGGCAAAUCCGGAAAAUCAAGGCUGAGGCGUGAUGACGAGGCACUACGGUGCUGAAGCAACAAAUGCCCUGCUUCCAGGAAAAGCCUCUAAGCAUCAGGUAACAUCAAAUCGUACCCCAAACCGACACAGGUGGUCAGGUAGAGAAUACCAAGGCGCUUGAGAGAACUCGGGUGAAGGAACUAGGCAAAAUGGUGCCGUAACUUCGGGAGAAGGCACGCUGAUAUGUAGGUGAAGUCCCUCGCGGAUGGAGCUGAAAUCAGUCGAAGAUACCAGCUGGCUGCAACUGUUUAUUAAAAACACAGCACUGUGCAAACACGAAAGUGGACGUAUACGGUGUGACGCCUGCCCGGUGCCGGAAGGUUAAUUGAUGGGGUCAGCGCAAGCGAAGCUCUUGAUCGAAGCCCCGGUAAACGGCGGCCGUAACUAUAACGGUCCUAAGGUAGCGAAAUUCCUUGUCGGGUAAGUUCCGACCUGCACGAAUGGCGUAAUGAUGGCCAGGCUGUCUCCACCCGAGACUCAGUGAAAUUGAACUCGCUGUGAAGAUGCAGUGUACCCGCGGCAAGACGGAAAGACCCCGUGAACCUUUACUAUAGCUUGACACUGAACAUUGAGCCUUGAUGUGUAGGAUAGGUGGGAGGCUUUGAAGUGUGGACGCCAGUCUGCAUGGAGCCGGCCUUGAAAUACCACCCUUUAAUGUUUGAUGUUCUAACGUUGACCCGUUAUCCGGGUUGCGGACAGUGUCUGGUGGGUAGUUUGACUGGGGCGGUCUCCUCCUAAAGAGUAACGGAGGAGCACGAAGGUUGGCUAAUCCUGGUCGGACAUCAGGAGGUUAGUGCAAUGGCAUAAGCCAGCUUGACUGCGAGCGUGACGGCGCGAGCAGGUGCGAAAGCAGGUCAUAGUGAUCCGGUGGUUCUGAAUGGAAGGGCCAUCGCUCAACGGAUAAAAGGUACUCCGGGGAUAACAGGCUGAUACCGCCCAAGAGUUCAUAUCGACGGCGGUGUUUGGCACCUCGAUGUCGGCUCAUCACAUCCUGGGGCUGAAGUAGGUCCCAAGGGUAUGGCUGUUCGCC
rnacentral:rRNA from 1 species